UAAGCGGAGGAAAAGAAACCAACAGGGAUUGCCCCAGUAACGGCGAGUGAAGCGGCAACAGCUCAAAUUUGAAAUCUGGCGCAAGCCCGAGUUGUAAUUUGCAGAGGAUGCUUCAGGGCAGCGACCGGUCUAAGUUCCUUGGAACAGGACGUCGUAGAGGGUGAGAAUCCCGUAUGCGACCGGUUGGCACCCGUCACGUAGCUCCUUCGACGAGUCGAGUUGUUUGGGAAUGCAGCUCUAAAUGGGAGGUAAAUUUCUUCUAAAGCUAAAUACCGGCCAGAGACCGAUAGCGCACAAGUAGAGUGAUCGAAAGAUGAAAAGCACUUUGGAAAGAGAGUUAAAAAGCACGUGAAAUUGUUGAAAGGGAAGCGCAUGCAACCAGACUUGUCGGCGGUGUUCCGCCGGUCUUCUGACCGGUCCACUCGCCGCCGGCAGGCCAGCAUCAUCUGGGCGCGCCGGACAAAGGCGCGGGGAAUGUAGCUCCUCGGAGUGUUAUAGCCCCGCGCACAAUACGGCGCCGCUCGGGUGAGGUCCGCGCUUCGGCUAGGAUGCUGGCGUAAUGGUUGUCUGCGGCCCGUCUUGAAACACGGACCAAGGAGUCUAACAUCUAUGCGAGUGUUCGGGUGUCAAACCCCUACGCGGAAUGAAAGUGAACGGAGGUGGGAAGCGCAAGCUGCACCAUCGACCGAUCCUGAUGUCUUCGGAUGGAUUUGAGUAAGAGCAUAGCUGUUGGGACCCGAAAGAUGGUGAACUAUGCCUGAAUAGGGUGAAGCCAGAGGAAACUCUGGUGGAGGCUCGCAGCGGUUCUGACGUGCAAAUCGAUCGUCAAAUUUGGGUAUAGGGGCGAAAGACUAAUCGAACCAUCUAGUAGCUGGUUCCU
rnacentral:rRNA from 1 species